rnacentral:snRNA from 8 species
GUGCUUGCUUUGGCAGCACAUAUACUAAAAUUGGAUCGAUACAGAGAAGAUUAGCAUGGACCCUGCGAAAGGAUGACACGCAAAUUCGUGAAGCGGUCCUUAUUGGG